CCCUACGGGGCGCAGCAGUGAGGGAUAUUGGUCAAUGGGGGAAACCCUGAACCAGCAACGCCGCGUGAGGGAAGACGGUUUUCGGAUUGUAAACCUCUGUCCUCUGUGAAGAUAAUGACGGUAGCAGAGGAGGAAGCUCCGGCUAACUACGUGCCAGCAGCCGCGGUAAUACGUAGGGAGCGAGCGUUGUCCGGAUUUAUUGGGCGUAAAGCGAGCGCAGGCGGUUGCUUAGG
rnacentral:rRNA from 1 species